rnacentral:ncRNA from 1 species
GGUCAAGUGAAGAAGGGCGCACGGCGGAUGCCUUGGCACUAGGAGCCGAUGAAGGACGGGACAAACACCGAUAUGCUCCGGGGAGCUGCACGUAAGCUUUGAUCCGGAGAUUUCCGAAUGGGGGAACCCAAUCAUCCUUAGGAUGAUUGCCUGGACGUGAAUACAUAGCGUUCAUGGCGGCAGACGUGGUGAACUGAAACAUCUCAGUAGCCACAGGAAGAGAAAGAAAUAUCGAUUUCCCAAGUAGCGGCGAGCGAACAGGAAAGAGCCCAAACCAGCGUGCUUGCAUGCUGGGGUUGUAGGACUGCGGUAGUGAGUAAAAAAAGAAGCACUUAGGCGAAUGAUCUGGGAAGGUCAGCCAGAGCGGGUGAGAGCCCCGUAGCCGAAAAGUACUUCACUCCAAGCAGGAUCCUGAGUACGGCGGAACACGUGAAAUUCCGUCGGAAUCUGGGAGGACCAUCUCCCAAGGCUAAA